rnacentral:rRNA from 1 species
GAACGAAGAGGAGCUUGCUCCUUUGGCGUCGAGCGGCGGACGGGUGAGUAAUGCUUGGGAAUGUGCCUUAUGGUGGGGGACAACAGUUGGAAACGACUGCUAAUACCGCAUAAUGUCUUCGGACCAAAGUGGGGGACCUUCGGGCCUCACGCCAUAAGAUCAGCCCAAGUGGGAUUAGCUAGUUGGUAAGGUAAUGGCUUACCAAGGCGACGAUCCCUAGCUGGUUUGAGAGGAUGAUCAGCCACACUGGGACUGAGACACGGCCCAGACUCCUACGGGAGGCAGCAGUGGGGAAUAUUGCACAAUGGGCGCAAGCCUGAUGCAGCCAUGCCGCGUGUGUGAAGAAGGCCUUCGGGUUGUAAAGCACUUUCAGUAAGGAGGAAAGGUUAAGUGUUAAUAGCACUUAGCUGUGACGUUACUUACAGAAGAAGCACCGGCUAACUCCGUGCCAGCAGCCGCGGUAAUACGGAGGGUGCGAGCGUUAAUCGGAAUUACUGGGCGUAAAGCGUACGCAGGCGGUUUGUUAAGCGAGAUGUGAAAGCCCCGGGCUCAACCUGGGAACUGCAUUUCGAACUGGCAAACUAGAGUGUGAUAGAGGGUGGUAGAAUUUCAGGUGUAGCGGUGAAAUGCGUAGAGAUCU